rnacentral:rRNA from 1 species
UACGUAGGGUGCGAGCGUUGUCCGGAAUUAUUGGGCGUAAAGGGCUCGUAGGCGGCUUGUCGCGUCGGGAGUGAAAAUCCAGGGCUUAACUCUGGACUGGCUUCCGAUACGGGCAGACUAGAGGUAUGCAGGGGAGAACGGAAUUCCUGGUGUAGCGGUGAAAUGCGCAGAUAUCAGGAGGAACACCGGUGGCGAAGGCGGUCCUCUGGGCAUUACCUGACGCUGAGGAGCGAAAGUGUGGGGAGCGAACAGG